GACGUAGGGCGCGAGCGUUGUCCGGAAUCAUUGGGCGUAAAGCGCGUGUAGGCGGUUCGGUAAGUCUGCUGUGAAAGUCCAGGGCUCAACCCUGGGAUGCCGGUGGAUACUGUCGGACUAGAGUACGGAAGAGGCGAGUGGAAUUCCCGGUGUAGCGGUGAAAUGCGCAGAUAUCGGGAGGAACACCAAUUGCGAAGGCAGCUCGCUGGGACGUUACUGACGCUGAGACGCGAAAGCGUGGGGAGCAAACAGG
rnacentral:rRNA from 1 species